CAACCCUCAAGCUCUGCUUGGUAUUGGGCCUCACCGUCUCGGUGUGCCUCAAAUUCAGUGGCGGUGCCGUCCGGCUUCAAGCGUAGUAAUCAUAUUUCGCUCUGGAGGACCGGGUGCGUGCUCGCCAGCGAACCCCAAUUUCUAUAA
rnacentral:misc_RNA from 1 species